rnacentral:lncRNA from 1 species
CGGGGAUCAGGUUACUUAUCGGGAAGGUACCUCUAGGAGAUAGCACCCCUCUAAGCCCUAAAGAGGUCUCUACUGACUAAGUUAAGGGGAAUAUGGCAAUUAAUCGGUUAAUUAUGGAUACCUAAGUAGGCUAGGUGAUUUCAAAAGAUUUGCAUGCUAAACAAGAUCAAAUCACAAAAACAGAGAGUUAGGGUGCGUACCUGAACCGCUCUUCAAGCGCUAUCAUAAAACAUCAGAGUUAGUAUAGAAGUAUAACACACAACAUGUAUUUAAUCAUAGUGAAUCAA